rnacentral:lncRNA from 1 species
AUAUAUAUAUUAGUGUUAUUACGGUACAACAAAUGUUCAUCGAUAAUUAUAUUUACUUGGUAUACUUACACCAUAAAGUAAUAUUUUUUAAAUGAUUUUCAGACAAUUCUUUAUGCAAAGCUGGCCAAUAAAGAUAUUAGCCGAAAAACAUUAGAAUCGGAUCAACAAUACCAGAGUUUAAGCAUCUUGCAUGUUUAGAUAUGAAAGAAUGACUGAAACUGUCGAUCUUUAUUUAGUUUGUGAUGCAAAUAAUGUUGGUGCAGAUGUUUUUUUUAUCGUUUUUCUCUACCUUCCCAACUUUAAAUUGAGACGGACCAAGCCAACUUGUCGUUAAUGGCAUGACGUUUGUUUGCCAUGUUUAAUAAUGGUCUGAAUUUAGUUGAAUGAAGCAAUGAAUCGUUGAUUGGGAAAUGUAAUGUGCAAAUGCGCUGAAAACUAAUAUUAUUGCAGCAGUGCUGUUGGUGUGAACCAAAUGAGUGCAGUCCUGCCCAGAAUGGUUAUCAAGUUAGCAAAUACACGAUGAAAAUUCUAUUUCUUGAAAUAACGUGUUUUUUUAAUGCUGGCGUGCAGUAGUGUUUUUAUGACGACAUGCAGCUGCACUUUGCGCGAUUAUUUAGACUUGUGGAAAGUCAAUGUUUCCGUUAGUUUUUUAUUGGCGGUAUUGAAAGGACGAUGUGGUUUCACGCUUGUCAUCAACAACACUCUAUCUUACCCUGACGAAUGAUAGCGAGUGUAGAAUCAGAUACCAAAUUGAUUACUGGCAGUGAUAAACGGCAUUGUGACGAUGCCGUCUUCUAAGGUUGAACUGAAAUCCAAGGACGCGGUGGGAAAUCUGCAACCUUUGACAACGAUAAUCGGCGACUCGUUGGAGGUAAAAGUCUUCAAGAGGCGUUGGUUUCAGCUCGCAUUGUUCAUCAUUUACUGCGUAAGCAACACUGUUCAGUGGUAUCAGUACGCUAUCAUCAGCAACGUAAUACGUCGGUACUACAACGUUUCGUCACUGGCUGUGGAAUGGACCAACGUGAUUUUUCUGGUCUCGUACAUGAUUCUUGUGUUUCCACUUUCCUAUCUGCUGGAUCGCGUUGGUCUGAGAUGGACGGUCUUGAUCGGUGCAACUGGCA